GACGAACGCUGGCGGCGUGCUUAACACAUGCAAGUCGAACGGAAAGGCCCUGCUUUGGUGGGGUGCUCGAGUGGCGAACGGGUGAGUAACACGUGAGUAACCUGCCCUUGACUUUGGGAUAACUUCAGGAAACUGGGGCUAAUACCGGAUAGGAGCUCCUGCUGCAUGGUGGGGGUUGGAAAGUUUCGGCGGUUGGGGAUGGACUCGCGGCUUAUCAGCUUGUUGGUGGGGUAGUGGCUUACCAAGGCUUUGACGGGUAGCCGGCCUGAGAGGGUGACCGGCCACAUUGGGACUGAGAUACGGACCAGACUCCUACGGGAGGCAGCAGUGGGGAAUAUUGCACAAUGGGCGGAAGCCUGAUGCAGCAACGCCGCGUGCGGGAUGACGGCCUUCGGGUUGUAAACCGCUUUCGCCUGUGACGAAGCGUGAGUGACGGUAAUGGGUAAAGAAGCACCGGCUAACUACGUG
rnacentral:rRNA from 1 species